CGUCACAUUCGGUCUCAAUACAUAGAUAUCGCUCACCACUAGAGGAAACCUCGGCAGAUUUAGCCGCCAUCUUUAACCAGGACUCCCCAGUCGUUUCCUCCAUUCACUUGCAUCGAGUACGGAGGAGGAUCCGACAAUCGGCGUGUUUGGAGGAGAUCGCAAUCCACAGAGGUAUCAGGCACAACAAAACCAGAUCCAAGAGAGCCUCCACGUAAACAUUGAAUGGACCUCAAAGAGGGAGCCGGGAUAGCUUGAACCGGUAAUGGCCCAGAUGUUCAGUGUUUUGGAAGGGGCUUCCUGUCAGGCCCAGCAUGGGAGGAAGACAAUUUACUAUCAAGAAGGGAGCACCAUACUAUCCAAGACCUUGACUUGCCUGAGACCAAAACAAGACCAAGACUUUUGGGAGUCGAGACAGAGAAAAGACCAAGACCAAGACAAGGCCAAGAGACUUGUGGUCUUGAGACUAAGAGACUAUUUAAAAUGGGGUGUUUCCCUAUGAUGUUGAGUUUUUUGCCCAGUCAUGUGACCAAAUUUGGAAAACUUAGCGAUAGCUUAUGUGACGGUGACGGUAACCUGUAAGUCAGGUCAUUCAUCUUUCAAGACAUCAAUUGAUAGUUUAAACCAUAAAUAUACCGAAAACUACAAUGUCAAAAAAACUUUAUUAAUAUUGCAAAUAUUUACGACCAUUGCUGUACUCUUAAAAACACAGUAAAUGGUUUAUAGCUGGGGAUGCACAUACGCAAAGUACACGAGUCGUACGUAUGUCA